CUGUUCUGGAUCCAUCUUUACUCAACCAUCACAUCAUCAUCACAACAUCGCCUCAAGAUUGCAAUUUGAAUUUACCUUUUUUGCUUGUUUGCUUGUUAUUUCAUCUCUUUUCCAGUGCCAAAGGUGGCGCCUUGAAAGUCGCUAUUUGCUUGAUAAAUAAAAUGGCAGCUGCGUGUUUUUGCGAGUUAACUUGUAACUAGUCAACAUUGGCAAGUUUUAAACAACUGACAACUUUCAACUUCAUUUCAGUUUAACUAAACUAUUGGAAAGGUUAACUUUCAACUGAACUCUUAUUAACCGUUUAACAAUCAACAACAUUGUAUACUUAUAACAUCAUCUUUACUGUUACACCAUGAUUAAGGAAAGGAAACAUCCAAUUGCUCGUGCCCUGUUUGUGGAUAAAAGUGAUCUCGCUGAGAGGGAAAAGGAAGACCUUGAGUUUGUAGAUAAACUAUUAUCUAGUGAAACAGAAUUAUUUCAUUCUCGAUAUGAAAUACUCGCCAGCCAUCAUCGUCAAAAUCUUUACCAUAUAAACCAUCAUAAUCAUCAAAAUCAUCAAAAAACUCAUAAACAUCACCACAGUCUCCAUAAUCAUCAUCACCAAAUGGUGGAAAAUGACUUAAUAACUGAACCAGGUCCAGUUACUACAAGUUACUUAGCAUUUAUAUUUUGGCAAAUAAUUGUUUGGAGUAAAUUAACUCGGUAAAGUUGAUCAUUAAAUUUUGCAUAUCAUCAUUACCAUCAUCAUCACCAUUUCCCAUGUUCAUAUGAAUGUAAAUAUACGCAAAUUGGUUUCUGUAAAUACUGUUUUUGUAUAUCAAUAUUAAACUGCCUUAAAGUAAACAAGCCGGUGAUUUUUUUGCAUAUUGCUGAUAUAUUUUCAAUCUAUCGAUGGAUCUCAAGACGUGAUGAUUAUAAGCAAAUUAUUGGCAUCAUUCAAAAUAAACAUUUCAUCAGCUUGGUAAUCAUCAAAUUACCCUGUUACUCAUCACAAUAAUGGAUGCAUUCUUAUCCAUUUGAUUCCUUUAUUCAACUGAGAUUCUAUUCCAUCUCCCUAUUUUCAUCUCCUUGGUUCCAUGUCAAUGGAGAGACAAACAGAAAGAUACAUAUCGUGUUCUUAGUGACCUGAAAAUCGUUACGCAUGAAAUGUGAAGUUAAAGAAGGAAAUAAAGACAGAGAAAAAAAUGAAACAUAAAUUGGGUCCAAGAAGCACUAAAAAAUGGAGAUUUACUUAACUCAGUGAUUGUGAGAAAGUGAGGAAAAGGAAAGAGAAACCGGUUAUUAAAAAGCAAAGGUUUCUUGUUUUCUGUCUCACUUACCUGGUUUCUCAUCAUCAUCAUCAUCAAAUACAUAUUGCUGAUCCUUGGCCUCCUCCUCUUCCUCCCUCCCUUUCACUUUCUCACCUCCAGAUAGUUUAUUGUAAUCAUUAUGGGUUACAAAAAAUAGACAUACUGUGAUGACGAAGCUUCAAAAAAA